CUCCCCCCUCCUUUUUUUCCUUUUUUCCCCACGCUUUCCGCGCGCCGGUUUAAGCAACCAUGAUCUGUGAAUAAACAAAGUCUGUAAACAACCGAAAAAAACAUUCUAGAUCCGAAUUCCAGGAGGGUAAACUUUCCAUGCCACGUCACACUUCAGCAAAUUUGCACAGAUAUUAUAUUGCCUCCCCCCUCCUUUAUUAUUCUUUUUUUUUUUUUUUUGCCAGGAUCCCAUUGUACUUAACUGAAUUUUAUAACGCUGAUCGAUAUCUUGGUAAAAUAUUCAUUUUUAAACUAGCGGGCAGUGAAAUCUUUGCUUUGUGUGCUAAAGUCAACAGUCGCUUGGUUUGAGCUCAAAUAAAUGCGGGGAUGCCUCGGCUCGGAGCAGUCGGCCUCCUCCCUCCGCGAGCUGGACGCUCCGCAGCCCGCCCGCCAGCCGGCCCGCCGGCCGCCGCAGGAAUCCCUGGAUAAAGACCAGCUCAACCAUCGCUGAGAAAACAGACCUAGGCUUCCCAGGGCGGUUAACCCGCCGGCCUCUGGGCAGAGACUAAAAGACAAAACAAAAUAAAACAACAACAAAAAACUCCCAGUGUGUUUCCUACUCUUCUUUGUCUUGGAGGAAAGCAAAGGGAGAGAAAUGGACUUCACCAGUGGUCUUUGGCUUCAUCAAUUCACAGGAAAUGGCAUCAAGAUGGUUCAACUAAGACAUGAUCACUAAAAACAUUAUAAUAAUACCUUUUUGAAAAACUCAGUUUCUCCUGUUUACUAAAUAUUUAUUUCAUCAACAUGGGCUGCGUUCCACUGUGUCAGGAUUCUGCAUGUGGGUGGAGCACUGUUCCAGCCUGAGAAGAUGGUUCUGAGGCCACUUAGCAAGACAUUUUCCAGCAUGAGCAGGUUUCUCUGUGGAAAUAGUGACACCUGUUCUGGUGUGUUGUCUUUCCUCAGGGAACUUAAGGGGUACAAAGCUCCUGAAAAUGUUCUUUAUGCUGGUUGAAGCUCUUAUGUCGCUGUACUGAUUCCCUACGAUGCAGAUUUGAAUCACAGAGUAAUUAAAAUAUGGAUCAAAUAAGGCUGGGGCUCACCAAGGCUGAAAGCUGUAGCCAUUCAAGGCAUCAUUUCUGUCAUGAAAAUAUAGGACCUUUUCAAAACAUGCCUUCAGGAAGGUGUUCUCUUUUCAAACAAAAGUCUAAUGACUGCAUAACUCUUCUUGACCACAUCUUACACUUUCUCUAGACUUGCUUAUUUACAGCUACUGGAACAAAAAGAUGAAAUGAAUAAAGCACACUGAUUGUCCUAAGAGUCUUCUGUGACUAAAAGCACAUGAGCUUCUCCCCAGGCUGAGCUUUGACCCUCCCAAGCAUUUCCCCAAAGGCCAUGACACUGCAUCAGAUUGCUCCUGGACACUUUCCUCAGAGUUUUCAACAAAUAUAAACUGAGGAGUGGAGCACAGCACCAGAUUUGCUAAUCAAGAGGCAAUGGUCCCAGUCCAAAUGGGUGCUGUGUGUGAAUACAGAGCCCAGGAGAAGGGAAGGAGGUCUGUGAACAUCAGGAAUUGCAAAAUCUUGCUGAACCAAUAGACCAACAGCCAUUAACAUUUGUCAAUGCAAAGAUCCUAAAAUAUACAAGUGUGGAGUUGUCCUGCCCUAAGAGCUGAAGCUGUGACAAUCACGCUGCCAUGGUAGAUAUUUAAGCUCCCCUGAGGUUACUGAAUCUAACAAUGAAUAAACAAUGAAGAGUAGCUAAUUUUUGGAAAUCUCUUUCUAUGACCGGAAAAUAUUCACAAACUCAGAGUGAUUGUUUGGGGUGAAAGAUGGUCCCAUGCCUUGUGGGCCUCUCUUUGCUAUCUAUACAACGUUGGAAAUGAACCCCUCCCUUACAGGAAAGUGAACAGCAACCAAGAAAAAAACGCUUUCGUAUAUUUUUCCUGCUGGGUGGUCAGAAGGAAAGGCCGUGAAGCUAAAGGUCUCCCACUGAGACGCUGUUCUGCAAGGAGCCGACCUCACGUGCCGCCGCCGCCAGAGAAGAGAGCACCUGUUCAUCUCGGCUCACUGUGAGGCUGAGCUCAGCGCUGGCAGGCGAGGGGCCGCAAGCAUCCCCCACAGCCACCGAGAGGGCAUCCCUGCAGGGAAAUCAUAUCCGACAUGCCUGUGCCCACAGCAGACUUAAGACUGCCUCUAAAAUGUCCAUGAAGCCAUUGUCCAGUAGAGCUGUUAGUUUUAACACCAGUGAGUAUUACCUUUGGUUAAAAGGAUGCAUGUGUAUAGGUGUAUGUGUGUGCGUGUGUGUUUGUGUUUUUGGACUUGUGUGGAGAAUGAAGAAAGGGUUCCAUUUAGGCAUUUGCAAAUAUUCGAUGGCAUCAUGAAAAGACAAAAAAAUCCUAUAAAAUAUAUCAUAUUUUGCUAUGAUUUUGUGUGUACAUGUAAUAAAAUUAUUAAGUAUAAAUUGUUCUGUAUUUCUUUGCAAGCAUAAAUUCUAAAAUUUUGUAUUUAGUACAGAAUAAUUCGUAUCACAUAAUAAGGG
rnacentral:lncRNA from 10 species